CCACUACGAAGAAACAACGCAGCAGAGGAAGUGAAUAUGUAUGGCAGCUUCCCCUUCAUUUCUGUCUUGCAAUAGUCACCGGGGUUGCCUGGUGCAUGGCCUAACUGCUCCAGCUCCUCGUUUCUAGUAUCUGCCAGGCUUUGUUACCAUCUGGUCCACUGCAGGAAACCCCGUGAAUGCUGCAUUCUUGGCUUUAUACCAGCCCAGCAAUUUGAGGAGAGGUGGAUGGUGUUCUCUGCAUCACCGGGUGCUUCAGGUGAUGCCCUGGACCACAGGAGAUUUGGAUUCAUCUUCCACUUCCCAGAUACCACAAGGAGAGCAUCCGGCACAACAGUGCGAUGGCCUUGGCUGGGGCAGAGGCAAGAAAGCAGCAAUGAAUCUCCUGUUUGUCUGAUGAGCUUAGCCGAACAGCUCUGCUGAGGAGCGGAGGGUCACAUCUGCCACCAGGCUGCUCUGAAGGCCAGAACCACACUUGAACUAAGGCCUCAUUUACAUGCAUCAAUUUUUUGGCUAAAAAAAAGAGGUCACCAGCCUCCCCUUUCUAGCCCGACUCCUUUUGCCCUUUGCCUGGCAUUGAUGUGGUUGCCGAAAUUGAAGGCGUGAUGGAUGAGAGAGCUGAAAGCAAGCCCAGGGAGUGAUGGGUUUGCCUAUUUAUAGCCAGCCUUUCAGAGCCUGCCACUUAAAUCCACAUUCCUGAUACGUGAAUAGUCUCUGGCAAGGCAUAAAAAUAGCUCUGUGGCUCUGACCAUAAUUGCACAGCCACGGCUCGGUGACCUGGUCGGCAUCGGACAGAGCUGCAAUGGGGCCUGAUGGCACAGGACGAAAGCAGAGCGAGGAGGACAGCUGCAGAGCACGGCGUAAACUAUAGGGUCCUUCUGUGGUUUUGGCUUUGCCUUGUUGACUGCCCUGGAUUACAGAAGCUGGCAAGACCCGCUCGCACAGACACACCACUGAAACCCUACCAGCUCUCGACGGCUGGAGCAGCCUUCGGAUGACAGAAAAGUGCCUGUGAAUUUAUUGGCUAAUUAAGAGGCAAGCACGUUGGAACGAGCCCUGGGAUGCAGCGGCGGAGACUCAAGUAGAGCAGGGUUCAAUCGAGUAGGGCAGAAUUGGUGCCCCAGGACAGCGCGGGGGGCAUUGAGCUGAGAAACCCCUCAGCCUUCAGAGAGGAGAUGAAACCAAUGUCCUGUAAAAGAUCUUAUAACCCUUUUUUAAACUGUUUUUUGCAAGUGGAGAGCUGUGUUAACCUCAAAGUCCUGGCGAAACUCCCACGAUGUAAUCACCGCCUGCCUCUCAAACUGCCCGAGUUGUGCAAAGCUUUUGCAUCUGCUGAUUUGUAUUUUGUAAUGUCGGCAGUAACCUCACUCUCCAGUAGCUUUAAUUCAGACUUUUCAAUUUUGGAGUGAGAUUUAUUGAUUUUUUAAGGGAAAUAAAAAUUGUCUUUAGGGGCACAGAG